rnacentral:rRNA from 1 species
GUGUCAGCAGCCGCGGUAAGACAGAGGUGCCGAACGUUGUUCGGAAUCACUGGGCUUAAAGGGCGCGUAGGCGGACCGCCAAGUCCGAGGUGAAAUCCUCCAGCUCAACUGGAGAACUGCCUCGGAUACUGGAGGUCUCGAGGGAGGUAGGGGCAAGCGGAACUGUGGGUGGAGCGGUGAAAUGCGUUGAUAUCCACAGGAACUCCGGUGGCGAAGGCGGCUUGCUGGACCUUUUCUGACGCUGAGGCGCGAAAGCCAGGGGAGCAAACGGGAUUAGAUACCCUGGUAGUCC